AUGGCGGCGGAUUCAAUGAAAGGGCCCGGCCCGGUCCCGCUUCAGCCACCCGUAAUGGCCGCCAGCGCGGAGAGAGAAAGAGGGCGGGAACUUCCGGCGGAAGCGGAAGUAGACACCGGGUGGGUGGAGACAAGAUGGCGGCCACAAGAUGGCGGCCGCAAGAUGGCGGCGAACGGGAUUUAGAGGCGGAUAGGGAAAGGCUUUUAUCUGCCUCUGCAGGGAUACUAUGUUUUUUUGGCAGGAUUCAGUGAAGAUAUGCUUCCAGAACCAGAAAUAACACAUCUUGAAGCCAAGAGAUGCUUCCAGAGCCAGAUAUAACACAUCUUGAAGUGCCAACAUGCCUCAAAAUGCAGAAAAUUGCCCCAAAAUAGGCAUGAAUCAGCAAGAACUGCAAUAGGAAUUGCCAACAUGCCUCAAAAUGCAGAAAAUUGCCCCAAAAUAGGCAUGAAUCAGCAAGAAACUGCAAUGGAAAGUGCCAACAUGCCUCAAAAUGCAGAAAAUUGCCCCAAAAUAGGCAUGAAUCAGCAAGAAACUGCAAUGGAAAGUGCCAACAUGCCUCAAAAUGCAGAAAAUUGCCCCAAAAUAGGCAUGACUCAGCAAGAAACCGCAAUGGAAAUGCUUUCCUUGGAUGACCCCGUAGAUAUGGAGAGCUCAAAUGGCAAAGGUGAACGUCAGCUCUCCAGGGAUGAAGGAAUCUCUUCCAGGGUUUUCUGGUUGGAUCACAGCGAGAGGAUUCGCGUUCCUAAAGCGCCGAGUGAUGUGAAGAGCUCGAAUUGGAGCCAAUGGCCACAUAAUUCCAAGGGAAAACCCGUCUACACCCUUUCUAUCACCAUAACAAAGCCCUUCUCCAUCCACCCAUCCCCUUUUUGGGUUUGGAGGUUGUUAAAUCCCUUCUGA
rnacentral:lncRNA from 1 species